rnacentral:lncRNA from 1 species
AUGCUGUAGGAAAAAUGAGAAGUCCUUCCUUCUGAUUUCGCUUGAUAUACCCAGGAUAUUCUGCAAAUGCUGUUUCAAAAACAUUUUUAGUGCCAAAACAUACCUUUGAGAAGAGAAAACAUUAUUAAGACAACGUAUGAAGAAAACACAGAAAUGAAUCUUGGAAUAUGCAGCUUUGACUCCUCUUGCUGUGUAGCACCUUCCUGCAAAUGGUCAACGUGGUUCAAUUUCCAGCUAGGACAUAAUUUGUACAAUAACCUGAAGUUGAAAUUAAUACUCAGAAACAAGCUGUACUGGGCUUAAGAAAAAUCCAUUAAGCUGUCUGCAUUAGAGGAAGAAGCUGACCAAUAGAGUUGAAGCAUAUUUGUUAUACUGUAAGAAGAAAGUUUCAGACAAAUAUCACAGGAACUAGGAUGACACUCCAAUAAGGUAACUUUAGGUUUAAUCUCAACUGCAAAUAAG